UACAGAGGGUGCAAGCGUUGCUCGGAAUCAUUGGGCGUAAAGGGCAAGUAGGUGGUCUCAUUUGUCUGAUGUGAAAGCCUUGGGCUUAACCCAAGAAGUGCGUCAGAAACGGUGAGACUCGAGUUCCGGAGAGGUGGGUGGAAUUCCCGGUGUAGCGGUGAAAUGCGUAGAGAUCGGGAGGAACACCAGAGGCGAAGGCGGCUCACUGGACGGAUACUGACACUCAACUGCGAAAGCGUGGGGAGCAAACAGG
rnacentral:rRNA from 1 species